GACGAACGCUGGCGGCACGCCUAACACAUGCAAGUCGAACGGACUUACAAGAGCUUGCUUUUUUAAGUUAGUGGCGGACGGGUGAGUAACACGUGAGCAACCUGCCUCUGAGAGGGGGAUAGCUUCUGGAAACGGAUGGUAAUACCCCAUAAAAUAUAAAUAUCGCAUGAUAGAUAUAUCAAAGAAAUUCGCUCAGAGAUGGGCUCGCGUCUGAUUAGAUAGUUGGUGAGGUAACGGCUCACCAAGUCGACGAUCAGUAGCCGGACUGAGAGGUUGAACGGCCACAUUUGGACUGAGACACGGCCCAGAAUCCUACGGGAGGCAGCAGUGGGGAAUAUUGCACAAUGGAGGGAACUCUGAUGCAGCGAUGCCGCGUGGAGGAAGAAGGUUUUCGGAUUGUAAACUCCUUUUAUCAGGGACGAUAAUGACGGUACCUGAAGAAAAAGCUCCGGCUAACUACGUG
rnacentral:rRNA from 1 species